rnacentral:rRNA from 1 species
ACGGAGGGCGCAAGCGUUGUUCGGAAUUACUGGGCGUAAAGCGCACGCAGGCGGUUUGUUAAGUCCUUUGUGAAAGCCCGGGGCUCAACCCCGGAAUUGCAGAGGAUACUGACAGACUGGAGACAGGUAGAGGCUAGCGGAAUUCCUGGUGUAGCGGUGGAAUGCGUAGAUAUCAGGAAGAACACCUGUGGCGAAGGCGGCUAGCUGGGCCUGUUCUGACGCUCAUGUGCGAAAGCGUGGGGAGCAAACAGG